AUUAAAUAAUAAUCAUAAAUAACAUUUUACCACUGAUAUAAUCCAUAAUCUGUAAACGUCAAUCGAAUCGCACCUAGUAUCAAUUUCCAUCUAGCUUGUUACGGGUGGGAUAAACCUUCAAAUCCAGUUCUACGUGUACGAUUCAUUUCCUGGCUGUAUAAACCCCCAGAAAAACAUGGCA